UGCAUUUGCACGCAGCCUCAGCCCAUGGGUGUCCCCUUGCAGAGCGCGGCUGUGCUCUGUGUCCUGCACCGAGCGGCUCCGCCAGCCCCAGGGGCAGGUGCUGAGCUCCCAGGGCUCCUGCCUAGAGCUGGUGCUGUGUGCCCAGGGGACACACGUCGUGUAAAAGAGGUGAAACUGCAGAGAUGGAUAUUGGCUGGUGUUAGCGUGUGGUGGAGGUGGUAUCUCCUGUCUGAGCUGGGGUCAAGGCCUCGUCCUGGUGGAGAACAAAGGCUCACAGGGAGCAUCUCACACGGCGACAGCAGCUGAGGCUGUGUCCAGCUCCAGUGAGGAUCUGUGCACAUGGCUCCAGCAGUGCCCUGGGCUGAAGGCCCUGCAUUGGGAAUGCUUCCCAUGGAGAUGCCCUUCUGUCCCCAUACACACAAAAACAGAAUAAAUCACAUAUAAAUAAUUACUUUUCAGCAGUAAUUGAUGAAGUACAGGAAAGCAAACAGCGAACUGGCUGUGUUUCAUCAUCCUGGUGCCCUAAUACUUCUAAAUAUUAGAAAUAAAUGCCUCCAGGUCUUGGGAUGUUCUUCCAUCUCCUCUUGCAAAUCAGAAGCGAAACCAAAUAUUGCCAGUGCUGCAUGCAGAUUUAUGGAUUUGAAUGCAAAUUACCCAAGCCACCUUAAAAUGGUGGUUAAUUAAAUAUCUUCUAACUUCUAAAAAGAAAAAAAAGAACACCAACCACCAAACAUGGAGUAAUACUCAACCAAAGACUGAAAACUACCCGAAAGUGCAGAGUGUCCAACCCAGCAGCUCUGGAAGCCAGUCGAUAGCAGUGUUUAGAAUCAUAGAAUCAUAGAAUUAGGUAGGUUGGAAAAGACCUACAAGAUCAUCCAGUCCAACCAUCCACCUACCACCAAUAACCCCACUAAACCAUGUCUCUCAACGCUAUAUCUAAAUGUUUCUUGAACACAAGUUCUAUUAGAACCAGCUGCUUAAUUCCUAUCACUAAUUCUCUUUAACCUGGAACAGCAUACAGGCUGGGGCAAGAGCCAGGUUUAUUAUUGAGCUAUUGCUGAGGCAAUCAUGCGUAGUUUGCUGGAGAGCAGCUCCUCUCCUCCACAUGGCUUUCCAUGCAAAGCAGCGGAAAAUCAACCUGCUUGCGGUUACUUGUGUGGUCAUUUUGCUCAGUGCAAGGCCACGCGAUAGAUCUGAAUAUUUCAGUGCCCAAUUGCAACUGCGAAACCGGAGGUGGGGAUGUGGUCAUGCAAAGAAAUAGCUGAUUGCAUAAAUAAAUCACAGCUGAAAAGAAGAGGAGCAGGGGGCUCUUCUGGUGUUUGCAAUUGGGCUUUGCUGAGCUCAGAGCAAUUGCACUCAGGGUGAACUUGACUCUUUGCCCGCUCCCCAGAGGGAUGGGUGUUCUGAAGCAACGAAUACAGCAGCGCUAUCAUAAACGGUACAAAACGUUGAGCAAUAAAUAGUUCACAAAACAAAUAAUAAAAUUCUGUAAACACGGACACUGAGGUAUUGGGGAAAAAA